UACGUAGGGUGCGAGCGUUGUCCGGAAUUAUUGGGCGUAAAGGGCUCGUAGGCGGUCUGUCACGUCGGGAGUGAAAACUCAGGGCUUAACCCUGAGCCUGCUUCCGAUACGGGCAGACUAGAGGUAUGCAGGGGAGAACGGAAUUCCUGGUGUAGCGGUGAAAUGCGCAGAUAUCAGGAGGAACACCGGUGGCGAAGGCGGUCUCUGGGCAUUACCUGACGCUGAGGAGCGAAAGUGUGGGGAGCGAACAGG
rnacentral:rRNA from 1 species